GCUCUGGUGGCACAGUGGUUAAAGAGCUUGGCUGCUAACCAAAAGGUCGGUGGUUCAAAUCCACCAGCU
rnacentral:tRNA from 1 species